AAAUUUUCAUUCCCCCCAACACUUGGUCAUUUUGUCUGAAACUUUCGAACCCGAAUUGAUAAACUCUCACUUUUAUUUGCCUCCUUCUUCGCGUCCCCGACCUCAGCUCCUUCUCCAACCUGACCCGCGCCCCCGACCUCAGCUCGGAGAGCUGCCUGGAGCUCGUUCUCCGACCUGACCUCGAGCUAAUUCUCCGACCGCCACCAGCGUAGGUCCUCUCUCUCUCUUCUCUGCAACAACUCUUUCACCUGACCAGCACCCGACCUCCUCCAUCUCCUCCUCUUCCUUCUCCCCCUCCUUCUCUGCCGGCACUCGACCGCCACCGGUGUUUGAUUUUCUGUCCGCCAUACCCUAAAACCUUACCCGCUCACGCUCUUAUAUUAAUACCAAAAUCCUAACUGGUGCCUCCAAAAGCUCUUGUUGUUUCUGGGUCUCGGCGACACAGGAAGAAGAAGAAGAAAACAGAGCUCUAGAUUCAACCAUGGUGGCUGUGAAGAAAACCAAGAAGACCCAUGAGUCUAUCAACAACAGGCUCGCUCUCGUCAUGAACCUCUGGGCUACAAGACCAUCAUCAACACUCUCCGUAGCUCCAAAGGGAAGCUGAUUAUAAUCUCGAACAAUUGCCCUUCUCUGAGAAAGUCGGAGAUCGAGUACUAUGCGAUGCUUGCCAAGGUUGGAGUUCACCACCACAAUGGAACAUGAAUUAGGAACUCAUGAAUUCUCAGCAUAAUACAUUGCUGAGAUGUAGGUCUUCUCUGUUUGCUUUGACUAUGUGGCUCAACAGCAAAGGUGAACUACAGCUACGGCACGCCCUUGGCGAAUGUUGAUUGGCUACAUGGUGAGGCUGAGUCACUUCUCACUCUAAUAAACAUAUUCAUUGUGUUGGGGUUGGGAGAAGCUCUGAGGAAAGCUAAAGAAAACUAAGGAACUUCAGAUCCUGUUCCAGGGUUGAAAGAGGAGAAGAAAACUUCUGUUUAGGUGAACGAGACCAAGAACUUCUGUUUAACUUUAUACUCCAUUCUUGCCUCACAUGACCAAGAAAUUCAGAACGGGGUUGGCCAACUCUUGCUUCAGCUAUGAGCAACCUCACUCCGGCUUUAACAUUCAUACUUGCCAUCAUCUUCAGCUUUUAAUGUAAUUGGGUGUGCAUUUGUGGAUGCCUCAAUUAAUAGGACGGAAAGGCUGAGUUUGAGAAGCACCAACACUCAAGCCAAAGUCAUGGGUACUUUAGUGUCAAUAUCAGGUGCUCUUGUAGUGGUUCUCUAUAAGGGCCCAACAGUUCUAUCCACUACAUCAGAAAGAGAUUGGGUAAAGGGUGGCGUAUUGCUAACUGUCGGGUACCUUUUGUUAUCUGCCUGGUCUAUACUCUAGGUAAUUUCAAAAAGUUACUAAAAUACUAUGUUUUGGCCUAAUGACAUUUGUAGUCCUUGUAAUUCUGGCAAUCAAGGUCUCAUAGUUUAGUUAAGCUCGCAACCAACUUCAAUUUGUUAUAUCCAUCACAUGAAGAGAUGUAAAAAUGUAAAAAGAGUCCAACUUGGUGGUUUUGAGGUAAGAAUGUAAGAUCAGAACAUAAGGUGAUCAAAGGUAAUGUCUAUCAUUUCAAUCCAUUGAAGUUGAUAGUAAGUGUAACUAAACUACAGGACCUUAAUGGUUGAAAUCAGAAGUACAUUAACCAAAGUACAAAACCAGGUAACAAUCUUGUUGUCCUUAAAAAUAAAAAAAUAAAAUAAAUAAAUCCAACCUGGUUCCUGGCAUACUAGUCAUGAAUUCUGUAGCAUGUUGUCACAGACUCAUAUCAUUGGCUACUAAAAUGUGGUCCUUGGCUACUAGCCAAACAAUGACUGUUGUUGUGCAUGAUGCCCCCAUUAACGACAUGGCAGGGAUCCCCAAGUUGAACCUCUUAGUAAAUGGAAGCUUCGACAAGACUGUAAAGUAUACAUGUAAAUGUUUUGAAAAUGCUAUGAGCUUGAGCCUGUAUAGCUGUCUUUCUAAAAUGUUAUGAGCUUGAACAUUUUGGUCAUUUAAAGCAGAAAUAUGGUGCUAUUUGUUGUUUGCUAAUGCUUGAUUUUCUUUAUUAAUUUUUAU